GAUGAACGCUGGCGGCGUGCCUAAAACAUGCAAGUCGUGCGGCAGCAUGCCCUUCGGGGUGAUGGCGAGCGGCGGACGGGUGAGUAAUGAAUAGGAACGUACCUAUGGGUGGGGGAUAACCAAGGGAAACUUUGGCUAAUACCGCAUAAGAUCGCAAGAUGAAAGGAGGCGUCGGGCAACCGAGCUUUCACCGAUAGAGCGGCCUAUUUCCCAUUAGCUAGUUGGCGGGGUAAGAGCCCACCAAGGCAACGAUGGGUAGCUGGUCUGAGAGGACGAUCAGCCACACUGGAACUGAGACACGGUCCAGACUCCUACGGGAGGCAGCAGUGGGGAAUCUUGCACAAUGGGCGAAAGCCUGAUGCAGCAACGCCGCGUGAGUGAAGAAGGCCUUUGGGUUGUAAAGCUCUUUCGGUUGGGAAGAAGGGAAUAUGGGCUAAUACCUCAUAUUUUUGACGGUACCAGCAUAAGAAGCACCGGCUAAUUCCGUGCCAGCCGCCGCGGUAA
rnacentral:rRNA from 1 species